AAAUUGAAGAGUUUGAUCAUGGCUCAGAUUGAACGCUGGCGGCAGGCCUAACACAUGCAAGUCGAACGGUAGCACAGAGAGCUUGCUCUCGGGUGACGAGUGGCGGACGGGUGAGUAAUGUCUGGGAAACUGCCUGAUGGAGGGGGAUAACUACUGGAAACGGUAGCUAAUACCGCAUAACGUCGCAAGACCAAAGAGGGGGACCUUCGGGCCUCUUGCCAUCAGAUGUGCCCAGAUGGGAUUAGCUAGUAGGUGGGGUAACGGCUCACCUAGGCGACGAUCCCUAGCUGGUCUGAGAGGAUGACCAGCCACACUGGAACUGAGACACGGUCCAGACUCCUACGGGAGGCAGCAGUG
rnacentral:rRNA from 1 species